rnacentral:misc_RNA from 1 species
GCGAAAUGCGAUAAUUAAUGUGAAUUGCAGAAUUCAGUGAAUCAUCGAGUCUUUGAACGCACAUUGCGCCCCCUGGUAUUCCGGGGGGCAUGCCUGUCCGAGCGUCAUUGCUGCCCUCAAGCACGGCUUGUGUGUUGGGCUUCCGUCCCUGGCAACGGGGACGGGCCCAAAAGGCAGUGGCGGCACCAUGUCUGGUCCUCGAGCGUAUGGGGCUUUGUCACCCGCUCCCGUAGGUCCAGCUGGCAGCUAGCCUCGCAACCAAUCUUUUUAACCAGGUUGACCUCGGAUCAGGUAGGGAUACCCGCUGAACUUAA